rnacentral:rRNA from 1 species
UUUCUUUGCUGACGAGUGGCGGACGGGUGAGUAAUGCUUGGGAAUCUGGCUUAUGGAGGGGGAUAACUGUGGGAAACUGCAGCUAAUACCGCGUAUUCUCUGAGGAGGAAAGGGUGGGACCUUAGGGCCACCUGCCAUAAGAUGAGCCCAAGUGGGAUUAGGUAGUUGGUGGGGUAAAGGCCUACCAAGCCUGCGAUCUCUAGCUGGUCUGAGAGGAUGACCAGCCACACUGGAACUGAGACACGGUCCAGACUCCUACGGGAGGCAGCAGUGGGGAAUAUUGCGCAAUGGGGGGAACCCUGACGCAGCCAUGCCGCGUGAAUGAAGAAGGCCUUCGGGUUGUAAAGUUCUUUCGGUAAUGAGGAAGGGAUGUUGUUAAAUAGAUAGCAUCAUUGACGUUAAUUACAGAAGAAGCACCGGCUAACUCCGUGCCAGCAGCCGCGGUAAUACGGAGGGUGCGAGCGUUAAUCGGAAUAACUGGGCGUAAAGGGCACGCAGGCGGACUUUUAAGUGAGAUGUGAAAUCCCCGAGCUUAACUUGGGAACUGCAUUUCAGACUGGGAGUCUAGAGUACUUUAGGGAGGGGUAGAAUUCCACGUGUAGCGGUGAAAUGCGUAGAGAUGUGGAGGAAUACCGAAGGCGAAGGCAGCCCCUUGGGAAUGUACUGACGCUCAUGUGCGAAAGCGUGGGGAGCAAACAGG